UCUCUGGCUUUUGUUCAUCAGUUACCAACCGCACGUCGCACACCGGAGAGACGAAGCCUCAGCGGCCGGACAAAAACGCGUUUUUUUGCCGAAGCAACUCGCAUGUUCGUGUAAAGACUCGCAUCGCCUCUUUCAGGACGUGGAUACUAAAAUAGUCUCUCCAGCGGACUUUUGGGCUUCAUUCUUUUUUUAACUUCUUUCCAAACCCGACAUGGAGACCGAGAGUAAAUAUCUCCCUCAGCUGCUGGCGGAGCGCGACAGCCUGGACUCAUCGUUCACACACGCCACGAAACUUAUCUCGGCAGAAAUCGAGAGGGUCCAGAAAGGCGACACGGAGAAAGAUACAGAAAACUACCUGGACCUCUUCACAACAAAAAACAUCAAACUGAAGGAAAGGGUCCUCAUACCCGUCAAACAGUACCCUAAGUUUAACUUUGUGGGGAAGAUCCUUGGACCGCAGGGGAACACAAUCAAGAGACUGCAGGAGGAGACGGGUGCUAAGAUCUCGGUUCUUGGGAAGGGAUCCAUGAGGGACAAAACUAAGGAGGACGGUUUGAGGAAAAGUGGAGAGCCGAAGUACGCACAUCUGUCCAUGGAGCUUCAUGUGUUCCUCGAGGUCUUUGCUCCUGUUCCCGAGGCAUAUCUGCGCAUGGCACACGCUAUGGAAGAGAUCAAGAAGUUUCUGUUUCCUGACAUGAUGGAUGAUAUUUGCCAAGAGCAGUUUAUGGAGAUGAAAUAUUUAAAUGGAGGUCAGGAGCAUGGAGCCAGAGGCCGCGGAGGACCCCCCGUCAGAGGCCGUGGAGCCCCCCCUCCUUCAGGACCACCUAGGGGUCGUGGUAUGCCCCCGCGAGGAGCGGCUCGUGGUGGACCCCCUCGAGGAGGAGCUGUAAGGGGGGCUCCAGCAGGAAGAGGCGGGCCUCCGACACAGUCUCCAAGAGGAGCAGCUGCCACACGUGCCCGUCCACCUGCCCCUGCAGGACAGAGGAUGCCCCCUCCGCCACCCCCACAUCCUCCAGCCCAAGAGACAUACGAAGAAUAUUCCUAUGAUGAGAACUACACAGAGCCAGCAUAUGAAUCCUAUGAGAGCUACUACACUCAACCACAGGCAGAACCAGAAUACUACGACUAUGGGCAUGGAGAGCCACAGGAGGGGUACGAAAGCUACGCUCAGGAUGACUGGAACGGAACACAGCGCACUUCUACCACCACUGGUGGGAAAGCUCCUGCUCAAAGACAGACUAAGCCCGGAUACAGAGAGCACCCCUAUGGACGAUACUAAGUCUGACUAGCGGAACAACACCCAACUCGUCGCCAUGACAACUGUCUCCCAUGGCAGCUCACGCUUUAAGCUACCCAACAAAAGUACUGAUGCCCGGCACUUCCUGGAAAUGGAAUUGGUUUAACAAGAAUGUGGGACCUCUGUCCAGGAAAAGAAGUGUUUAUGGUCUUUAUGGAACCAUGGACAUGGCAAACCGGUCUGAUGGAUACCUUGUGAGGAGAACAAGAUCAGAGAAAAUUAAAGAAUGAACCACCACAUUUCUACCAAGUUAAAUCGGACAAGUCUUGGGUUCUUGGUGUCUGGUGUUAUGUAUUCUGUGUGCUAAUGGCUAAAUGGUGCUCUGUACUGGGAUAUUCCAGGCGUUCCUUAAUGCUCAUGACAUCAAAGUCUUUCUAUGCAGUUAACUUGAAGUUUUCAUCAGUGAAUGUGGACCUCUUCUGCUGAUUUUCACCAAGAAAUCCUUUUAACAGGCUAUGAAAAAAAAUCUCAGACCAGCACCCCAGUGCUUUAAUUCUGCAAGACAAGCAUGUCUUCUCCGACACACUCAGAGGAACGUACAUGCUAAUUUGGAGCUGACCGGCCCCUAUCUUUUAGCGCAGACAUUGUAUUUUAAUUGGCAGGAUAAUUUUUGUCUAGCUCUGGAGUAGAUAUGUUUGAAUGGCUUUAUUCCUUCUGCAGCGUCUUGCAGUUUGCACGAUUCUCGACUGAAUGUAGCAUCCGAUGAAGCAAACACAAAGCUCCAUGGUUUUGCAGUGUAGAGUGGUUGUUGAUCUAAAUUAAGGUAACAUUUUUCUCCAUAGAGGCAUGAAAUAAAAUGGAUUUUGCACAAGCUACAUGUUCUGAUCCUUGUUUUGCAGAGGUUGAUUUUGGCUCCGAAUGCAUGAACGCGUGCGCUUCGCUGUCAGUAUAUAUCCGUUGAGGUUCCCCGCCACUCGAUCUUUUGCUCAUUUUUCCCUAGCUCACACAAGAUUCAGGCUCGUCAUUUUGACCAAUUACUGCCGAUGACAGUGUGUCUGUCCCCCCACUGAGCCUGCGCUGGUUGCUGAUGGGCUAACAGGACUCUGGCUUAUUGCCUUAGACACAAAUCAGUCCUCAGCACACAUUUUAAUAAGCAUCAGCUAGCGCUCAAGUGACAUUGAACAAUUGGAAAUGGCUGGCCGUGGUAGGAGGUUGACCAGUGCUGUAUGCAGGCAUAACGUAAUGAGAAAUCUCAAAAGCAGAUCGUGGAAUAUUUCAUUUUUUUGCUAACAGAUGCUGGGGGCAAAACAAAAUCUAGCGAUCUCCCCAGAACAGAAUAUUCAAGCCAACUAGCUGGAGUUAAUGGGUCUGUGUUUAUAUAUUCAUGGGCAUGAAUGCGACCUACAGCUGCAGGGAAAUGCAUCAAUGACGGUUGGUGGGCUUAUGGGUUUACGGUUUGGCAGCUCCUUUCUCCUAACGCAUUAUGCAUGCUAAAAACAGGAAGCAUGUUUUCAUGAAUGUAGAUUCAUGCUCGCACCACAUACGCUGUCUGCCUCGCUUGCUCGCAUGGCUAUUUUGUUGGUUUCACACCUAACAGUGCACGCGCUCCGGGGAUUGGGGGUUUGCGACUGUUUCUGGCUCAAGUCCCGGAGAAACCGUGAACGCCGGCCACCUCGAUCAGUAUGAAGGUGUUGGGAAUGACUAAGCCUCCUAAAGGUUUCUUCCUCGGUGUGCCGUGGUGGAAACGAAUCGAAUCUGUCCAUGUGGAAUCUGGCUUGAGUAAUCUGUAGCCCUCCAGGACUGGAGUUGGGCACAACCACCACGGCUGUUGCUGUGGUAACAUUCCAUUGCAUGUUUUCCAACAUUCACAUAAGCAAACGCACACAGUACAAUGUGGGGAUGUCUUGGGGAUUGCUUGGGAUUAGCGAUGAAAUGGUUCUGCCAGCCGUCUGCAUCGUCUUUUGUUGUUUUAAAGUGAUUUAUGUGCCUGUAGUCGCCUGAUGUGGCUAAACCUGAUUUCGAGCUCAUGAACACAGCGGCUGUCAACAGCAGUUGGCCUUUACCUCUCGAGCCUUUAGGGACAGGGAAACUGAUCACUGGGGAGCGGACACAAUUUCUGUUCAUAUCUGCACAAUGACACUAGCUUGUUUAUUAUUCUUUUUGGAGAUCGGUGCAUCCAAGUAUUUCAACUCAAAUUCAUACACAGCCAAUUACAUGACUAAAGAAGUAAAUGCCAAAUCGUUUGAUUGGUUUUGGUGCUACACAAUGUUUGACCUUAAAGUUGUCAGAAAUAAAGAUUUGA